rnacentral:piRNA from 1 species
UGGUCUCUGUGAAGUCUCUGC